rnacentral:rRNA from 1 species
GACGAACGCUGGCGGCGUGCUUAACACAUGCAAGUCGAACGGAAAGGCCUCUUUCGGGGGGUACUCGAGUGGCGAACGGGUGAGUAACACGUGAGUAACCUGCCCUUGACUUUGGGAUAACUUCAGGAAACUGGGGCUAAUACCGGAUAGGAGCUCCUGCUGCAUGGUGGGGGGUGGAAAGUUUCGGCGGUUGGGGGUGGACUCGCGGCUUAUCUGCUUGUUGGUGGGGUAGUGGCUUACCAAGGCUUUGACGGGUAGCCGGCCUGAGAGGGUGGACGGCCACAUUGGGGCUGGGAUACGGCCCAGACUCCUACGGGGGGCAGCAGUGGGGAAUAUUGCACAAUGGGUGGAAGCCUGAUGCAGCAACGCCGUGGGGGGGAUGACGGCCUUCGGGUUGUAAACCGCUUUCGCUCAUGACGAAGCUUUGUGUGACGGUAGUGGGUAAAGAAGCACCGGCUAACUACGUG